AAAAGAACCUAUAUCCAAAGAGCUGGGUUCUCCUUUCGGAUGUGAUGUUGAACAGUUUCUCUGUGUGCUUCAUCUCCACCUCCCUCCCAGCUUUUAUGUCCCUUCUACUUCGUCUUCAAACUCGAGUUCAAAUCUCCUUCCCUCUGAAAACCCCCUCUCGACUGUGCUACCCAUUGUAAAGACCGACUCUUCAGUGAAGCCAUUGUCCUAGGACCACCAUACUGUGAGGAAGCCCAAGAGAAGCCAUGCAGAGAAAGAAAAAUGCUUGGCUAGUUUCCAGAUGUUCGAGCCACCCCGCAGAAAGCAGGUGACAACACAGAAUCAGCAUUUGGGAGAUGCGGAGACCAGGGACGAGUCCUUCCUCCUGGGAGAGCUGGGAUUCCAGUCCUGGGAGUGAUUCUGGGUCAUCAGGCCGGAGAAUCACACUCUCUGCUAUCAGCAUCCAACCUACUCGAGUCCUGACCCCACACUGCCAGGAGAGUCCAGCAAGCCCUGAGGGCCUGAGCACAGCCAGGCUGGACACUGGAGGCAGCCCCGGGAGAUGGUAUGUGGCCUGUUCAUGGAGAAGCUGGUUCUACCUCCUACCUUAUUUAGGUGUGGUUGCAUUUAAUCACCAUUUUUUUUCAUUGUUGUUUCUUGAACAGGUGAACCCCCAUACAUUCACAAUGCCCCUUCUAACAUAUUUUCACCAUAUUCUAAACCAUUGCUACUUAAGAGUGCAAUCCAAGGACCACAGGCCAUUGGCAUGCCUGUGAGCCCAUCACCUCUGCAAGGCUAAUGCCCCAUCUGGUCCCACUGAGUCUGAAUGUGAAUUUCAAAAGUUCCUGCAUGAUUUGUGUGCACAUUAA